GUGGCAAGAAGCGAACAGUUGACACCAAACCGGGACGGGGCAAGCGUUGCAAUAAAAGUGAGAAAACGAAAAGUGUAUACAGGCAAAACAGAAAAGAAAUAUCGCCGUAAUCAAGCAAAUUAAAAUGUAAAUGAAGAGCCGGGCGGUACAAGUUUUACGCAACUGUUGGCCACUCGUCGUUGGGUGCGGAACGCGCGACGGUCGCAGAUCCUCCAAUCGCGCAUCCAUUUGGCUAAUUAAAAAGAGAAAAAGGAAGCAUCAACCCACCACCGCCCCUUCCGUGCAAAAAAACCCCUUUAGGUGCAGCUUCGGUGCAGUACAGCAGAGUUCAAGAGGUGUUGCAUUGGGGAGUAAGCGAACCUUCGCAGUGAUUCAAAGGGGGCGGAUGUCCCUUGGCGGAUUCAAGGAAGCGUAUACGUUUGCUCUACCUUAUCUGAACUCUUUUCUUUAGCUGAAGGUACUGGCCUGUGCUAUUGGGACCAGGUAUCAAGUCAUCCAAAUCUCCUUCCGAACCUAAUACACCCUGUCAAAAUUUGAUGCAACUCCUUGGAGAACGUUCAGUAGGAAUAUGAUUUUUUUGUUGAAACUGCGGAGAACUAAAACUGCUGCUUAUGAUGAGAUUGCAAGAGCUUUACGAAGAAUUUUCUGAUGUACUGGUACAAUAGAUAAGACAUUGGGGGACAUUGCUCCUUAAACUAAUGUGCUGCUAUCUUUGCUAACUAGAAGGAAUCUAUAAACAUUGUAAUUAGCAGCGAAGGCGUCUCGGGAUUAUAGACGAUCCUAUACAAAGAAGCAGUUAUUGGGAUGGUGCGCCUUGGUUUCUUACGUUUGUUAUAGCAGUUCUUCCACUCAUCGUACCCUUUACUAUUCCAAUGUUAACUUCCAUCGACAUCUU